rnacentral:lncRNA from 10 species
UGGGGCUAUGAGGAAUAAAUGAGAAAAUGCAUGGCACAUGGAAAAAAAGAAGGAGCUCAUAGGGUUUUUGGUGAAGGGCAUUGUGGCUCUGCCACCACAUCCUUCCCCAGACCCCAAAGAGACUACAGAGUCCCUGGGCCUGAGGGAGGUCCCUGACCCUCCAUCCAGCCCCCUCAACCUCAUCUAGGACCUGGGUCCACAUCUAGAAGUUCAUUUUGGCCCUCUCACAGCAUUCUCACUGCAUCUAUGACCCCUCUCCUUUCACAACUCUGCAACUGGAACUUUUAUUUUGAUGAGGCAUUCUCUGCCUGGAGAGCUAAAAAGCCUCCAAAACAAACAGUGCUUCCUACCCUUCCCCGAGCUCUCCAGAGUGGAGAAGUGUCUGAUUUCCUGGUUCCCAAGCUCCACGAGGUCUGUGCAGUGCAAGUCCCUCCCCAGACACCUCCCCCGUCGAGUGCCUCCCGAGUUACUCACAGUGGUUGGGCAAUGGUCAGGGAUCCGGCCUCCCACUUAUGUAAGGCAUAAUUAUCCAGCCCACCCGGCUCCAGCCACCAUAGCAGCCAGCAGCAGGGGCCAGGAAGAGCCCAUGCCCUCCCCAGGCCCACAUAGGGCUCCCAUUGGGCCUAUAAGGAUAAGAAGAGCUGGGGGAGAGAAGGACGGGGAGUUCCGAGCUGGGGUGUAGCCAGAGCACCCGCAUAGGGGGUACAGUGAGGUCCGCAACAACAGGAGCACUCUGGGGCCCAGAUGGAGACUCAAGUUAAAUCCCAACCUGGAUACAGCCCUGGGACCCGAAGCUAGAAAUGGGACUGGGUGCUGCCCAAGGACCCAGGUGAAGGCCAGUGUGAAUCUCACCUGGGUCCCGCUGAGGGAGAA